UACGGGGGGGGCAAGCGUUGUUCGGAAUUACUGGGCGUAAAGCGCGCGCAGGCGGCCUCGCGCGCCCGACGUGAAAGCCCCCGGCUUAACCGGGGAGGGUCGUUGGGGACGGCGGGGCUUGAGGGCGGGAGAGGUCGGUGGAAUUCCCGGUGUAGUGGUGAAAUGCGUAGAGAUCGGAAGGAACACCUGUGGCGAAGGCGGCCGACUGGGCCGACCCUGACGCUGAGGCGCGAAGGCGUGGGGAGCGAACGGG
rnacentral:rRNA from 1 species